UGGCAGCUGGCAGUAGUUCCGUCAGAGCGGACAUCUUGUGGCUGUGUCGUGCGCGUGAGCCCCGUAGGGCCGGGGAGGCACCAGCUGCCGCGCGGGGAGGAGGCCGAGGCCGCAGCGUGAGGGAGGCCCCGGCCCCUCUGCGCCUGUGUCUGGCAGAGCCGGUGUGAGACGAAGAGACAAUCCUUCCCAGCCGCCGGGAUAAUCAAGAGUUUUGGCCGGACCUUCGAGCACACACCGAGAUAGUGAGGAACCAGACGAAAAGCACAGACUAUGGCGCUGAAACGGAUUAAUAAGGAACUUAGUGAUUUGGCCCGUGACCCUCCAGCACAAUGUUCUGCAGGUCCAGUUGGGGAUGAUAUGUUUCAUUGGCAAGCCACAAUUAUGGGACCUAAUGACAGCCCAUAUCAAGGCGGUGUAUUCUUUUUGACAAUUCAUUUUCCUACAGACUACCCCUUCAAACCACCUAAGGUUGCAUUUACAACAAGAAUUUAUCAUCCAAAUAUUAACAGUAAUGGCAGCAUUUGUCUCGAUAUUCUAAGAUCACAGUGGUCUCCUGCUUUAACUAUUUCUAAAGGCACCUGGUAUGAAGAAGACUUUAAUACUAUUUUCCAGUUCUUUUAUCCAUUUGUUCACUGCUAUGUGAUCCAAACCCAGAUGACCCCCUAGUGCCAGAGAUUGCACGGAUCUAUAAAACAGACAGAGAUAAGUACAAUAGGUUAGCAAGAGAGUGGACAGAGAAAUACGCUAUGUUGUAGGGUACAACAGAAUAUCUCGGGAAUGGACUCAGAAGUAUGCCAUGUGAUGCUACCUUAAAGUCAGAAUAACCUGCAUUAUAGCUGGAAUAAACUUUAAAUUACUGUUCCUUUUUUGAUUUUCUUAUCCGGCUGCUCCCCUAUCAGACCUCAUCUUUUUUAAUUUUAUUUUUUGUUUACCUCCCUCCAUUCAUUCACAUGCUCAUCUGAGAAGACUUAAGUUCUUCCAGCUUUGGACAAUAACUGCUUUUAGAAACUGUAAAGUAGUUACAAGAGAACAGUUGCCCAAGAUUCAGAAUUUUUAAAAAAAAAAUGGAGCAUGUGUAUUAUGUGGCCAAUGUCUUCACUCUAACUUGGUUAUGAGACUAAAACCAUUCCUCACUGCUCUAACAUGCUGAAGAAUCAUCUGAGAGGGAGGGAGAUGGAUGCUGAGUUGUCACAUCAAAGGAAGCAGCAUUAUUCUAGCAGCAUCCAUUCUUGUUUAAGCCUUCCACUGUUAGAGAUUUGAGGUUACAUGAUAUACUUUAUGCUCAUAACUGAUAUGGCUGGAGAAUUGGUAUUGAAUUUAUAGCAUCAGCAGAACAGAAAAUGUGAUGUAUUUUAUGCAUGUCAAUAAAGGAAUGACCUGUUCUUGUUCUACAGAGAAUGGAAAUUGGAAGUCAAACACCCUUUGUAUUCCAAAAUAGGGUCUCAAAACAUUUUGUAAUUUUCAUUUAAAUUGUUAGGAGGCUUGGAGCUAUUAGUUAAUCUAUCUUCCAAUACACUGUUUAAUAUAGCACUGAAUAAAUGAUGCAAGUUGUCAAUGGAUGAGUGAUCAACUAAUAGCUCUGCUAGUAAUUGAUUUAUUUUUCUUCAAUAAAGUUGCAUAAACCAAUGAGUUAGCUGCCUGGAUUAAUCAGUAUGGGAAACAGUCUUUUGUAAACGCAUAGCUGUUUUUUGUAUAUACUGUUGGGAUUUGCCUCAUUGUUUGACAUCAGAGAUGAUGUAAAGUUCAAGAGAGUGAAUAUUUUGCCAUGUUCAGUUAAAAGUGCGCAGUCUGUUACAGGUUGACACAUUGGUUGACCUGAUUUAUGCAGAAUUAAUAAGCUAUUCAGAUAGUGUAGCUUUAGUAUGCUGCACAUGAUACUGGCAGCCUGGGAGUUCAUAGAUGGACUUGGGACCCAGCAGAUUUGAAACAUGUAUAUGGAGUUUAAGAAAUUUAUUUUCCAGGUGCAACCCCCAUCUAACUAAAUUUUUUCUUCACCUUGUACGCUUGACAGCUGAAAAGACCAUAACAUGGGAGUAAUAAUGGGUCACAAUUUACAAAAUAAAGUACUGUUUUGGUGUGGGAGUUGUCAUGAGGCUAUGUUGAAGUGACUUUAACCAUGUGGGAUAUUGAGUUUUUUUAAUGGAUUGAAUAUCCAUUAAAAUGGAUUUGUUCUGCCAUUUACAUUAAUGAGCAUUUAAAUGCAACAGAUACCAUUUCAGGUGACUUAACAUGAAUGAAUAAAAGUCAAUGCUAUUGGAUUA